GGGGACGACCUGGCUUCGACGUGGGUUGCAAAACCUGAGGUGCAUGCCGAGGAUGUAGACUCCUCGUAAAUCAUUCUGCAAAUUUAUAGUUGCCAACGACGACAACUACGCACUCGCAGCUUAAACACCUGUAGAAUGCCGUCUGACUGAAGCCGUGCUUAUGCGUUCAGAUUCCAGGCGUC
rnacentral:tmRNA from 1 species